rnacentral:rRNA from 1 species
GUUGUUCGGAAUCACUGGGCGUAAAGCGCGUGUAGGCGGCCCUUUAAGUCCGAUGUGAAAGCCCGGGGCUCACCCCCGGAAGUGCAUUGGAUACUGAAGGGCUGGAGUACCGGAGAGGAGGGUGGAAUUCCUGGUGUAGCGGUGAAAUGCGUAGAUAUCAGGAGGAACACCGAUGGCGAAGGCAGCUCGCUGGGACGGUAUUGACGCUGAGACGCGAAAGCGUGGGGAGCGAACAGG